UUGAUUCAUUUUUUGUUUUUGCUCAGACGGCUUCAGUGGUUUAAAAAAAGGUUCAGAGGGCUCGCCGCCCCCGGCGGGGGGGAGGGACCGGGUGGUCCCCCCCCCGGGCCCGCCGGAAGCAACGAGAACAGACUGGGGUACGGUUCGCAAGGGUUGGGAGUUGCUGGAACUCGCUAAUGAUCCCUCCGCUGGUUCACCAACGGAGA
rnacentral:misc_RNA from 1 species